rnacentral:rRNA from 1 species
UGAGUAACCUGCCCUUAACUCUGGGAUAAGCCUGGGAAACUGGGUCUAAUACCGGAUAUGACUCCUCAUCGUAUGGUGGGGGGUGGAAAGCUUUAUUGUGGUUUUGGAUGGACUCGCGGCCUAUCAGCUUGUUGGUGAGGUAAUGGCUCACCAAGGCGACGACGGGUAGCCGGCCUGAGAGGGUGACCGGCCACACUGGGACUGAGACACGGCCCAGACUCCGUACGGGAGGCAG